rnacentral:lncRNA from 1 species
CUUUGUCAUACAGGCUGGAGUACAGUGGUGCUAUUUCAGCUUACUGCAGCCUCAACCUCCUGGGAUCAAUCCUCCUGCAUCAGCUCCCCAAGUGGCUGGGACUAGAGGUGUGUCUAGUCCACCACACCCAGCUAAUUUUUCUGUAUUUUUUUAUAGAGAUAGGGUUUUGUCAUGUUGCCCAGGCUGGUCUCGAAUGUUUGAACUACUAUGAUCCACUUGCCUUCGCCUCCCAAAGUGCUAAGAUUACAGGCAUAAGCCACCACGCCUGGCCUGAAAUUUAUAUUUUUCAUAAAUGCCUUUUAUUUAUCCUUUUUAUGAUUACUUUUAGGUCACUUUAUUGAUUGACUUUAUUUUUUUACAUGUUUUGGUAAAUUAUUUCAUUAAUGGAUUUUGUUUCAAGAUACAAAAUGGUGUUGCAAAGUUUUUGUUUCAAGAGUUUAAUAUCACCUAGAGAAGUAUUUCUCUUUUCCUUUGUUGCUCAUGGAUCAAAGUUUAGUUGUUAACCCACAUCAUCAGGGCUCAUCAACCUCAGAUCCCUCAGAUCACUGCAACACAUUCGCAGCAGUGUCUGAGGGACACUAUUCUAAUCCAUUUCCCCCCUUUCUCUCUGCUAAUAGUUUAGUCCUUUACAGUUCAUUAAAGUAUCUGCAAGAGGUUUAAGUGUUUUCUGUUUAUACUCCCCUUCCAAUAAAAAAUAAAAGAAUUAUCUCUUGAAAAGAAAAAAAGAAUCAAAUCUCUCCUAUGCCUUAGCUACUCUGUAAUCUGAGGAAAACAUUCACAGCCUUCACCAUAGAUGAGCCUUCCUUUUAAAAAGAUGUCUGUGUGAUCUAGUAGCAGACAACCUCAGCGAACCCCUCCUGGACAAAUCUGAAUGACUGUUAAUUUGACCCUGGGACAUUUCUGUUUAUUCAUGUGCCGUGAUCUUUCUUGUUUCCCAGUGUGCAAACACUAUUCACAUCAACAAUGUGUUCCAUUUAUGAUCCAGUUCCUUUUAUUUUGCUAGUUGUUAUGUUUUCUUCAAAUUUGCACUACACUAGCUAUCUUAAGAAAAACUUUCUAUAAUCAUUAUGGCUGACAUUUUAUUUAAUUAGUUGACCUGUUUAUAAAUUAUUUUCUUUUUACUGAAAGACUAAAUAUACCAGUGGAUAGUAGUCAGGCCAUGUAAGCCAAGGAAACGUUGACUCAGUCUCUGCAUCUAUCAGUCAGGAAGCCAAACGGCCUCCACAGCGAUCGGCCCAGAAGAAUCAGAGCUUGGUUAGUGGCUUACAGCUUUCCCAAUAAUUCCCCCUGCUUCCUA